AUUGAACGCUGGCGGCAGGCUUAACACAUGCAAGUCGAGCGGUAACAGAGAGAAGCUUGCUUCUCUGCUGACGAGCGGCGGACGGGUGAGUAAUGCCUAGGAAUCUGCCUAGGAGUGGGGGAUAACUUGCCGAAAGGUAAGCUAAUACCGCAUACGUCCUACGGGAGAAAGGAGGGGACCUUCGGGCCUUUCGCUAUUAGAUGCGCCUAAGUCGGAUUAGUUAGUUGGUGAGGUACUGGCUCACCAAGACCGCGAUCCGUAACUGGUCUGAGAGGAUGAUCAGUCACACUGGAACUGAGACACGGUCCAGACUCCUACGGGAGGCAGCAGUGGGGAAUAUUGGACAAUGGGGGGAACCCUGAUCCAGCCAUGCCGCGUGUGUGAAGAAGGUCUUAGGAUUGUAAAGCACUUUAAGUUGGGAGGAAGAGCAGUUAACUAAUAUUUGACUGUUUUGACGUUACCGACAGAAUAAGCACCGGCUAACUUCGUGCCAGCAGCCGCCGUAA
rnacentral:rRNA from 1 species